rnacentral:lncRNA from 1 species
GUAAGGAUGGUUUCUUGUGAUCUUAAUAUGCUUAAAGUAUGGUCUUUGACAAAUGCCACAUCUUGAGCAAACAUAGUACAAAACCUUCUUUUCAAGCAGUACUUUGUUUUUAUUAUUCUCUACACACCCAUUCUUGAUCUGCCAGUUCUUUCUGUAGGCCUCAGAGUCAGCUCUCACUGAGGAUGCCUGUACCUCAAUGGGGAGAAUGAAGAGAGACCGACCGACUCCUCCAAACUGCCCCCACGUCCAUCAGCAUCAUCCAUCUUUCGGCACAUUACAAUGGCCACACGUGGCAUCACUAUGAGCCCACACAGCUGGCAGCUGGGGAUUUGCAGGAGUCACUGUUUUGCUGGAAGAGCUCAGGUCAAAGCCAGUCAAUUUCCCACUACCUCUGGUAUUAUUCUGCCAAGAAAACUCAGAGGUUUCCAAAGUGAUGUCUUGGGAGGAACAGUUGCUACACAAGGAAUAAAGGAAUGACCUUCUGUCUGGUCAAGAAAAAGCAGGACACAUCUGCCAGGCAGCAUGGUAAGGACAGCUGUAAAGAUUUUCUACAGUGACCACGUGUGACUUGUAAGUAUGGUUUCACACCCAUAUUUGACUCUGAAGGAGGAGCAAGGCUUGAAGUAAGGAAUAUCAGGUAUCAUUGUUUAUGCACAGUUACGUAUGUUAACCAUACCCCUCAGGAUUGUUGUAGCCUAGCCUGUUUUUCUGUCGUUUCCAAGCAACUUGGGGAGGAUAUUGUUCCUGAAAAAAAAAGCUGUUUGACAG